CCUACGGGGGGCAGCAGUGAGGAAUAUUGGUCAAUGGACGAGAGUCUGAACCAGCCAAGUAGCGUGAAGGAUGACUGCCUUAUGGGUUGUAAACUUCUUUUAUAAAGGAAUAAAACGAGGCACGUGUGCCUUUUUGCAUGUACUUUAUGAAUAAGGAUCGGCUAACUCCGUGCCAGCAGCCGCGGUAAUACGGAGGGUCCGAGCGUUAUCCGGAUUUAGUGGGUUUAAAGGGAGCGUAGGUGGGUUGUUAAGUCAGUUGUGAAAGUUUGCGGCUCAACCGUAAAAUUGCAAUUGAUACUGGCAGUCUUGAGUACAGUUGAGGUAGGCGGAAUUCGUGGUGUAGCGGUGAAAUGCUUAGAGAUCACGAGGAACCCCGAUUGCGAAGGCGGCUUACUAAACUGUGACUGACAUUGAUGCGCGAAAGUGUGGGUAUCAAACAGGAUUAGAUACCCUUGUAGUC
rnacentral:rRNA from 1 species